CAAAACCCCAAAGCCAGCCAACC
rnacentral:siRNA from 1 species